rnacentral:rRNA from 1 species
AUGGCGUGUGGCGUGUUGUUAACUACUCCAGCGCGAUCGACGCGCGUAAACGUGUCCGCUGAAAGAUUCGAGCGGCGCAAUGCACCAUUUAAGGCGCCCGCAGUCCUUGCACGUCCAUGUCAACAAGCCAAACGGCCAGAUGUUGAGGCCAGGGACUUAGGAAAAGGAGAGUCCUCUAAUUUUUUUUUCAUUUUUGCUAUGUGUAAGUUGCAUGAAUUACUAUUUUGUGCAGUAUUUGUGUGUCUUACAGUGAAGCACAGGCUUUGGAUGUCGGACCGACGGGCGAGGCAUGGCUUGCAGGACCAGUCAUCCGCGUGUUUUACGAGUCUGCAAGACGAGGACAACGUCAAACAUAUUCCGUCCAAGUGCGUAUAUGCUCGAAAGUGUGUCAUAAGGUGUGGGACCCCCUACGGAUCAAUGGACACGCCCGCUGACCGGUGGUUCAGGUCUUCAGGGAGAGGAGAAACUUCAUGGGCACAGAUAGGAGAGGCUUCGACACAUUGGCCAUGGCUUGAUCUUUAUGGAAGGAGUGUAAUGUUAGAGUGUUUAACGGAGUGA